rnacentral:rRNA from 1 species
CAGUAGCCGCGGUAAUACGAAGGGGGCUAGCGUUGUUCGGAUUUACUGGGCGUAAAGCGUGCGCAGGCGGUCCGCUAAGACAGAUGUGAAAUCCCCGGGCUUAACCUGGGGACUGCAUUUGUGACUGGCGGGCUAGAGUAUGGCAGAGGGGGGUAGAAUUCCACGUGUAGCAGUGAAAUGCGUAGAGAUGUGGAGGAAUACCGAUGGCGAAGGCAGCCCCCUGGGCCAAUACUGACGCUCAUGCACGAAAGCGUGGGGAGCAAACAGGAUUAGAUACCCCGGUAGUCCCUGUCUCUUAUAA